UCCUCUGCCGUAAGAUGUUAUCUGAUUGCUUCAGGUUGUAAAAUAAUUAUCAAUUGAAUGACUUCAAUUAGUACUUUGGUUUCCAUCUUAUGUGUUGGUUAUGUUCAACUGAUAUGGAAUGAACACUUAUUGUUGUAGAGCCAAUACAUUUGUGGAGUACAACAAACUGGCUAUUGCGCUUUCGCUUUUGUUCCUUACAAGUUGCUUCAUGUCAAGGAUGUGAGCAUGUACUUCGCUGUUAAUUUUCUUCCACUUUCCAUUUUGGGGUGGGUGUGGAGGGCAAAGAAUGUCCACUACACUGUUAAUGACCUAUUAGUUUGUUUCUAAUAUUUGAUUCUUCUUAGUCUCCAAAUUGAUGUUUCAGUUACUCAUUUUAUCAUAGGGCAUAUCACAUAAAAGAGAUGUCCAUUUUGUCAUAUGUAGCACUAUCCUAUGCAUGUAAAAGUGCCAUAUGCAUCCCAUUGCUAAUAUCUUUUUUCAGAGAUCGUGUGGGUGAACCCCAUCGGUGGUAAUCUGAAGCAAUAUGCCAAAGAAGCAUGGGAUGACCUGCAUAAAUUUCUAUCAUCUUCUACUGGACGAGCUGCCAUUGUCUCCCGAAUUUAAAGAAGUUAACCCCAUGAAGCAAGUACCAGCUAUAAUGAAUGAAAGAUUUAAGCUUUCCGAAAGGUAAUGUUUAGCUUGAACAGAAAAUUUAGCAUUUCCUAAUAUCACAAUGUUAUUAACGUCUAUUAUUCGCUGUCUAUGUUGUACUUACACAUAUCUUAAAGCUUUACAUUUAGUCAUUUAUCUCCUAGAAGUUCAUAGUUUGAUGUAUUCACCUUCCAAUGUAUACUACAAGAGCCAAAAUUAGAAAAUACUCAUUCUGUUAAGUUUAGAACAUUUUCUGUAAAGAUCUGUAUGUACUAUGCUAGCGCAAUGCCCGCACAAAUAACUACUGUGGACAAUGCAUGUGGCGAUAGGACAAUGUUAUCUUUUCCUGAGUUUCAUGUGAAGUAUUUUAUAACUUGGAUAAGUUUAAAGCAAGCUAACUGAUUGUAUGUGCUUGCAGUCAUGCAAUUCUUAAAUAUCUGGCUUGUGCAUUUCCAGGAGUUGCAGAUCAUUGGUAAGUGCAGCUACUUAUUUUCACUAUAUACUUUAGUCAAAUGCUUUUUAAUCAUGGAAAUACGUACUCUUUAAAGCUCUUGAUCUUUAUAUAGAAUACGAUCCCAGGCACAUCCCGGUUUUGAACUUGAUGAGUUCAACUUUUAUAUUCCCACCGUUACAGUUCAAAAUUUAAUAGUUAUUAAAAAAGUUAGUGAUCACACACACACACACAUAUAUAUAUAUAUAUAUAUAUAUAUAUAUAUAUAUAUAAGUUCCAUGUCGAAAAUGUUGGGUUUAGCAUAAUCCAUGGAACUCAUUGCAUCUUCCUCUGAACAUGGCAAUCGGAGUUACAAAUAGAACUAUUCUGCAGUCGGCAUCUGUGAGAAGUUAAUCCAUAUGUAUCUAUUAUUUGAUUGCAAAUUGCAUGUUGUGUUUCUAACAGGGAGUUAAAGUAGUAGAGUUUUGCUAAAAAUACAUCGUCGCCAUUUCACGUGCCGCCGUUGAAAACUCAACAGCGAUGGAUCAUCCAAACGGUGCGGAGCAGAAGAGUAAUUCGGGUUAGGAUUCGGAUCAGGUUCAAAAGCCGGAUCCAAAAUCUGAUCCGGAACAACCUGAAAGUACCAAUGAGAGUGGUAAAUUGGAGAAAUUGAGGAAAUUGGUGAGGUGGAACGAGGAAUUGGUAGAAGAAUCAGCGGCACCGAUGAGAUCUAUGCCGUCCGAUGAACGUGGAUCGAAUCCUUAUAUGGCUUACUCACCUGCUCCCUAAAAUAAUUCCUCUUCCUUUAAUAUGAAAGUGAUGAAUAAACAGUCCACAAGGAUAUGAAGGAACAACGAUAUGCUGCAAAACAAGUACUGAAGAUGACGAGGGUGUUAGAAAAUAGUUCCUUCAUCUUCCACAUUUGUAACUCUCAGUGGCUUUAAUUGUAUAUUACUCAUUGAAUUAUUGCAUUGCUAAUUAAUUGUUGACCCUCAUUAAUCCUUUCUGUAAAAACAAAUAAUUUUCUUUAUAAUAAUCUACGACAAUAUCUAUUAUUAA